rnacentral:misc_RNA from 1 species
GGGUAGAGUCGUACAAAUUCAUCCAUGCACUAAAUUACUUGCAAUUAACUCUUGAACUCACUAUUGAAAUAAUUUAGAAAAAGGAGGAAAACAACAUUUGCUCAUAAUGCAAUAAAAUAAAACUCAAAAGUAAUAUCAAAAUUAAAAUCAAAAUACGAAGAUAAAAUAACUCAAAGAAAAGAACACCCCCUGAGCUGAUCGAGCAACUGAUUUGGGCAAAAAUCGAUAUAAAAGUUAAGACAUGAAACGAAAACACCAGCUUGAGAAGUUUUUGUAAGUAUUUUUUUAAAAAUUGGUACUAAAACAGGUUGGUGAAAUGGAGAUAUUUAAAGACACAUCCAUUUGGAGGAAUAAAACAUACCUAAAAUGAAGAUGAAGAGAAUUUGAAGGAAAUACAUAUAUAUGCACAAAG